rnacentral:rRNA from 1 species
GGACGAUGACAUUAGCUGCAGAAUAAGCACCGGGCUAACUCUGUGCCAGCAGCCGCGGUAAUACAGAGGGUGCAAGCGUUAAUCGGAAUUACUGGGCGUAAAGGGAGCGUAGGUGGCUCUAUAAGUCAGAUGUGAAAUCCCCGGGCUUAACCUGGGAACUGCAUCUGAAACUGUAGAGCUAGAGUAUGUGAGAGGAAGGUAUUCCCUUGAGGACUUAGUGACGCAGCUAACGCAAUAAGUAGACCGCCUGGGGAGUACGGCCGCAAGGUUAAAACUCAAAUGAAUUGACGGGGGCCCGCACAAGCGGUGGAGCAUGUGGUUUAAUUCGAUGCAACGCGAAGAACCUUACCUGGUCUUGACAUAUCUAGAAUCCUGCAGAGAUGCGGGAGUGCCUUCGGGAAUUAGAAUACAGGUGCUGCAUGGCUGUCGUCAGCUCGUGUCGUGAGAUGUUGGGUUAAGUCCCGCAACGAGCGCAACCCUUGUCCUUAGUUACCAGCGGGUUAAGCCGGGAACUCUAAGGAUACUGCCAGUGACAAACUGGAGGAAGGCGGGGACGACGUCAAGUCAUCAUGGCCCUUACGACCAGGGCUACACACGUGCUACAAUGGUAGGUACAGAGGGCAGCUACACAGCGAUGUGAUGCGAAUCUCAAAAAGCCUAUCGUAGUCCAGAUUGGAGUCUGCAACUCGACUCCAUGAAGUAGGAAUCGCUAGUAAUCGCGGAUCAGAAUGCCGCGGUGAAUACGUUCCCGGGCCUUGUACACACCGCCCGUCACACCAUGGGAGUUGAUUGCACCAGAAGUGGAUAGCUUAACCUUCGGGGGAGCGUCACCAACGGGGGGGGU